ACGAUACUGUACUAUGCUGUACUGUGUUGUACUGUACAUACAGCUUGAAUAAUUAAUGUUAUUAUUUAAAAAGUAUAAUAAUAUAUAUAAUAAUAAGUAUUGGAAAAUCAUCAUUUGUGAGUGUAAUGUAAAACAUUAAAUGUAUGUAAUUAAUUAUUUAAUUAUAUACAAGAAGGUACAUUGUGUUUGUGGGAAUACAUAGCAUAAUACAGUAAUUACACUCUUGUAAAGCCGCUAGUACGCGCAGCGUUUCUGGCAGGUGCGUAAUCUAACAGAUAAUUUAAAAUAGGUAAAUUAUAUAAAACUGAAUAAAAUCUCAUUCAUUUGGUACAUGUAUGUUUCUUAUAGUUUGUGUAUACAUUUUAUUGUAUAUAUUUCAUUUUCCAAAAAUAAAUCUCAUUAACUACUCGGGUAUCCAAUUACGUCGAGGCGACGAAUGACCGUACAGGUUGCGACAAUGUGACGUCAACUGAAAAUGAGAAAGGUGAUUGGCUAUUGAGUAUGUGACGUCAACUGAAAAUGAGAAACGUGAUUGGCUAUUGAGUAUGUGACGUCAACUGCAAAUGAGAAACGUGAUUGGCUAUUGAGUCCACCUGCUCAUUCAGGCGCAACGGAACGUUAUUUUGCCCCUAGAAUUAGCCGAGUAGAGGUGUACAACAGUCUUGAAGGAGCGGUGAUUCCAGUCAUAUCCUGCCGAGCAGAAGCUGGUGG